rnacentral:miRNA from 1 species
UAUGCUGUACUGCAAAGGCUCC